UUGUGUGGUCAAGUUUUUAAGGGCGCACGGUGGAUGCCUUGGCAUUAGGAGCCGAAGAAGGACGUAGGAAUCUGCGAUAAGCCUGGGGGAGUUGAUAACCGAGCGGUGAUCCCAGGAUGUCCGAAUGGGGAAACCCCGCACAACGCUGUGAGGUGAUUGUGUGACCCGUGCCUGAAUUCAUAGGGUGCGUGGGGGGAACGCGGGGAAGUGAAACAUCUCAGUACCCGCAGGAAGAGAAAACAAGAGUGAUUCCGUUAGUAGUGGCGAGCGAACGCGGAUGAGGCUAAACCGUUCCAUGUGUGAUAGCCGGCGGGCGUUGCGUGGGCGGGGUUGUGGGACUUUCCGUGCUGGUUCUGCCGGACCGGUGGGGUGUGGGUGUGCGUAUAGGUGAACGGUCUUGAAAGGCCGGCCAGAGAGGGUGUGAGUCCCGUAACCGUAAUGUGUGGCACCGCCUUUGGAGAGGAUCCCAAGUAGCAC
rnacentral:rRNA from 1 species